rnacentral:lncRNA from 1 species
AGAUUCUUCAGCAUCAGACCACCAGUCGUUCCCCUGAACCCAUUUUCUGUACCUGGAAAUUGGAUCCCUUGCUGUUCGCCAAUGCUCGAUCUCAUCAACUGGCCUGUACUUGGUUGAAUCAUCAGAUGUCGAGUGAUGGCCAACUCUGUAAGUCAGGGCCUGAAAGUUGAACAGUCAAUACUCAGAUCAAUUAUACUAUGAAGUUUUGUUGUUUCAGGUAAUGCAACUUGGUUGAAUUAUUCUUAUUCUGCACCUCAACUAAAAUCGGUCUCCCUUCAGCUAUAGCCAUUUCU